rnacentral:rRNA from 1 species
CCCUUAGAUGUUCUGGGCUGCACGCGCGCUACACUGAUAAAGGCAGAAAGUAUUUAGUGCGCCGAAUGGGGCAUGGAUGAGGGAUUUAUUUUUCUUGUUUUUGUCUGUUUGGGUACGAUUUUUCCUUGACCGGAAGGUUUGGGUAAUCUUUUAAACUUUAUCGUGCUGGGGAUCGAUUAUUGCAAUUAUUAAUCUUGAACGAGGAAUUCCUAGUAAGUGCAAUUCAUCAGAUUGUACUGAUUACGUCCCUGCCCUUUGUACACACCGCCCGUCGCUACUACCGAUUGAAUGGCUUAGUGAGGUUCCCGGACCGAAGUGGUUUUUUAUUAGGGCUGUAAGGUUCUAUUCCAUUUUGGGAAGCGAAACAAACUUGGUCAUUUAGAGGAAGUAAAANUCGUANCA